rnacentral:rRNA from 1 species
GACGAACGCUGGCGGCGUGCUUAACACAUGCCAGUCGAACGGAAAGGCCCUGCUUUUGUGGGGUGCUCGAGUGGCGAACGGGUGAGUAACACGUGAGUAACCUGCCCUUGACUUUGGGAUAACUUCAGGAAACUGGGGCUAAUACCGGAUAGGAGCUCCUGCUGCAUGGUGGGGGUUGGAAAGUUUCGGCGGUUGGGGAUGGACUCGCGGCUUAUCAGCUUGUUGGUGGGGUAGUGGCUUACCAAGGCUUUGACGGGUAGCCGGCCUGAGAGGGUGACCGGCCACAUUGGGACUGAGAUACGGCCCAGACUCCUACGGGAGGCAGCAGUGGGGAAUAUUGCACAAUGGGCGGAAGCCUGAUGCAGCAACGCCGCGUGCGGGAUGACGGCCUUCGGGUUGUAAACCGCUUUCGCCUGUGACGAAGUGUGAGUGACGGUAAUGGGUAAAGAAGCACCGGCUAACUACGUG